AGAGUUUGAUCCUGGCUCAGGACGAACGCUGGCGGCGUGCCUAAUACAUGCAAGUCGAACGCUUCUUUUUCCACCGGAGCUUGCUCCACCGGAAAAAGAGGAGUGGCGAACGGGUGAGUAACACGUGGGUAACCUGCCCAUCAGAAGGGGAUAACACUUGGAAACAGGUGCUAAUACCGUAUAACAAUCGAAACCGCAUGGUUUUGAUUUGAAAGGCGCUUUCGGGUGUCGCUGAUGGAUGGACCCGCGGUGCAUUAGCUAGUUGGUGAGGUAACGGCUCACCAAGGCGACGAUGCAUAGCCGACCUGAGAGGGUGAUCGGCCACAUUGGGACUGAGACACGGCCCAAACUCCUACGGGAGGCAGCAGUAGGGAAUCUUCGGCAAUGGACGAAAGUCUGACCGAGCAACGCCGCGUGAGUGAAGAAGGUUUUCGGAUCGUAAAACUCUGUUGUUAGAGAAGAACAAGGAUGAGAGUAACUGUUCAUCCCUUGACGGUAUCUAACCAGAAAGCCACGGCUAACUACGUGCCAGCAGCCGCGGUAAUACGUAGGUGGCAAGCGUUGUCCGGAUUUAUUGGGCGUAAAGCGAGCGCAGGCGGUUUCUUAAGUCUGAUGUGAAAGCCCCCGGCUCAACCGGGGAGGGUCAUUGGAAACUGGGAGACUUGAGUGCAGAAGAGGAGAGUGGAAUUCCAUGUGUAGCGGUGAAAUGCGUAGAUAUAUGGAGGAACACCAGUGGCGAAGGCGGCUCUCUGGUCUGUAACUGACGCUGAGGCUCGAAAGCGUGGGGAGCAAACAGGAUUAGAUACCCUGGUAGUCCACGCCGUAAACGAUAAGUGCUAAGUGUUGGAGGGUUUCCGCCCUUCAGUGCUGCAGCUAACGCAUUAAGCACUCCGCCUGGGGAGUACGACCGCAAGGUUGAAACUCAAAGGAAUCGACGGGGGCCCGCACAAGCGGUGGAGCAUGUGGUUUAAUUCGAAGCAACGCGAAGAACCUUACCAGGUCUUGACAUCCUUUGACCACUCUAGAGAUAGAGCUUCCCCUUCGGGGGCAAAGUGACAGGUGGUGCAUGGUUGUCGUCAGCUCGUGUCGUGAGAUGUUGGGUUAAGUCCCGCAACGAGCGCAACCCUUAUUGUUAGUUGCCAUCAUUUAGUUGGGCACUCUAGCAAGACUGCCGGUGACAAACCGGAGGAAGGUGGGGAUGACGUCAAAUCAUCAUGCCCCUUAUGACCUGGGCUACACACGUGCUACAAUGGGAAGUACAACGAGUCGCAAAGUCGCGAGGCUAAGCUAAUCUCUUAAAGCUUCUCUCAGUUCGGAUUGUAGGCUGCAACUCGCCUACAUGAAGCCGGAAUCGCUAGUAAUCGCGGAUCAGCACGCCGCGGUGAAUACGUUCCCGGGCCUUGCACACAACGCCCGUCA
rnacentral:rRNA from 1 species